ACGUAGGGGGCAAGCGUUAUCCGGAUUUACUGGGUGUAAAGGGAGCGUAGACGGUAUUGCAAGUCUGAAGUGAAAUCCCGGGGCUCAACCCCGGAGCUGCUUUGGAAACUGUAAAACUAGAGUGCUGGAGAGGUAAGCGGAAUUCCUAGUGUAGCGGUGAAAUGCGUAGAUAUUAGGAGGAACACCAGUGGCGAAGGCGGCUUACUGGACAGUCACUGACGUUGAGGCUCGAAAGCGUGGGGAGCAAACAG
rnacentral:rRNA from 1 species